rnacentral:rRNA from 1 species
GACGAACCGUGCGAACGUUGUUCGGAAUCACUGGGCUUAAAGGGCGCGUAGGCGGCGCGGAUAGUCGGCGGUGAAAGCCCGGAGCUCAACUCCGGGUCGGCCGUCGAUACUUCCGGGCUUGAGCACUGUAGAGGCAGAUGGAAUUCCGGGUGUAGCGGCGGAAUGCGUAGAGAUCCGGAAGAACACCGGUGGCGAAGGCGGUCUGCUGGGCAGUUGCUGACGCUGAUGCGCGACAGCGUGGGGAGCAAACAGG